UGGGGAAUAUUGGACAAUGGGCGCAAGCCUGAUCCAGCCAUGCCGCGUGAGUGAUGAAGGCCUUAGGGUUGUAAAGCUCUUUCACCGAUGAAGAUAAUGACGGUAGUCGGAGAAGAAGCCCCGGCUAACUUCGUGCCAGCAGCCGCGGUAAUACGAAGGGGGCUAGCGUUGUUCGGAAUUACUGGGCGUAAAGCGCACGUAGGCGGAUAUUUAAGUCAGGGGUGAAAUCCCGCAGCUCAACUGCGGAACUGCCUUUGAUACUGGGUAUCUUGAGUAUGGAAGAGGUUAGUGGAAUUGCGAGUGUAGAGGUGAAAUUCGUAGAUAUUCGCAGGAACACCAGUGGCGAAGGCGGCUAACUGGUCCAUAACUGACGCUGAGGUGCGAAAGCGUGGGGAGCAAA
rnacentral:rRNA from 1 species